GUGUAUUGAUAUAGUAUAGUUUUAUAGUAUUGUGUAGUUGUACUCACCACCUCCAGUUUGCUCUUGGGAUCUCUACAGAUGUAGUAGUGUAUUGAUAUGGUAUAGUAGUGUAGUAUUGUGUAGUAGUAUAGUACUGUAUAGUAGUACUCACCACCUCCAGUUUGCUCUUGGGAACUCUACAGAUGCAGAGUGUAUUGAUAUGGUAUAGUAGUGUAGUAGUACUAUAGUAUAGUGUAGUAGUACUAUAGUACUCACCACCUCCAGUUUGCUCUUGGGAACUCUACAGAUGUAGAGUGUAUUGAUAUGGUAUAGUAGUGUAGUAGUACUAUAGUAUUGUGUAGUAGUACUAUAGUACUCACCACCUCCAGUU